rnacentral:rRNA from 1 species
UACGAAGGGGGCUAGCGUUGCUCGGAAUCACUGGGCGUAAAGGGUGCGUAGGCGGGUCUUUUAAGUCAGGGGUGAAAUCCUGGAGCUCAACUCCAGAACUGCCUUUGAUACUGAGGAUCUUGAGUUCGGGAGAGGUGAGUGGAACUGCGAGUGUAGAGGUGAAAUUCGUAGAUAUUAGGAAGAACACCAGUGGCGAAGGCGGCCACCUGGCUCGGUACUGACGCUCAGGUUCGAAAGCGUGGGGAGCAAACAGG